AAAUUACAUUUCCAUAUUGAAAUAAAAAAAAAUUGAAUUAUGAUGAGAUAUUUGCAAAAUUGGUUGUAAUCAGUGGAGGGGAAGAAGAAUGAAGAUAUGGUGGCUGUUUAAUUUGGGAAAGGGAAGUUCUUUCCCACCAUGAAAAAGUCCCCCUUUUCAGGACAGGUAUAGGUUGGUAACCGGUUUAGGAAAAGAAAAAAUUAAAAUUAAAUUGUUUUUUUAAUGUUGUUUUUAAUUUUUCUGGUGUACCUCACCCCAUUUACUACUCUAUCACCUGAAUUCCAUAACUGUAGCCUGAGGUAUAAGCUGGUUGAGCGACCUCCCUUCAAAGACAAAACAUCAAUAUUCUCCCGUCAAUGGCAGAAGCAUUAGAGAAAGUUUGUUGUUGAAUCAGUCAACCAUGUAUGUGCUGAUGUAUGUUGCUGCUGAGUUUGCACACUAAAUAUCUUUGCACAGUACAAUUUGCACCUCCAUUGUCUCUUGUUUAUCUCUAUUUCAACCACAUUUCCUAUGUGAACGUCUAGUUCUCAUGGUUGUUCUCUGCCACUCUGGUUCUGUUCUUAGGAUGAUGCUCCUAUUUACUUUCAUGGUGGUUGAAGAAGUAUAAAUUUUAGGAACAAAA